GGGCGCUGCGGGGCGGCCCCGGGGCUCCGUCCCGGCGCGCGGCCGGGGCUCCUUUCCUCGCGUUCCUUCGCGGCCGUCCCGCGCUCGACGCAAACUCGGGUGAAGUUGAGGUCGGUCCCGAGCCCCCCUCGGGGCCCGUCCGUACCGGACAACCCGCGGCAUCGCGGCCGAGCGCAGGGUGGGAGUGCGGUGUCACGUCUGCUGUCCCAAGGCACCGCGCACCCGCACAGGGGAGAACGGAUCACCUCUAAUGCCCGUCCCUUCUGUGUGCCUCAGCUCCCACCAAGGACUGCAGCACAGGACCACAUCCAGCGUCGUGUCGGCAGUGGAACCGGCACAUGAGAGCCCACCUGCAUGACAGAGGACUUUCUGGAAAACAAGUUCAGCCUUGCUGUCUGCGCCUGGCACGUGAGAAUGAAAACUGGCUUGUUUGGAGCAAAGGCCUCCCUGCAGUCACUGACAGAGGCUUUGGAAGCAGCUCUGCAGGAUGUCCUGGGACCAGUGUGACACAACUGGGAGUACCAGCUAGCUGAAAAACUCGCUUCAGAAGCACUCGGCCAUGGCCUGCUGAGGAACUGGAGAGAUUCCAAGGAAACGUGGAGGAACCAAAGUGCCAGAUGUCCCCGGAGGUCACAGACUUCUGACACUUCUGACUAAAAACUGCCUAAGAAGUGCUUCCUCUGCUGUCUACCUAUUGAUUAGAAAAGGAAGGACAGCUUUCAAAUCCAGCUUGGACUCUUUAACUUGAACAGAAGUCUCAGAGCUUUUUAUCCAGUCUGUCAUUUUCAAAACACCAAGAGGGGAAGGGGACACGUCAAGUGGAGUAAAUGCAAAGAUUGAAGCAGC
rnacentral:lncRNA from 1 species